GUUUAUCUAGUGGCAAACGGGUGAGUAACACGUGGGUAACGUGCCUCCAAGACGAGGACAACAGGGCGAAAGCCCUGCUAAUACUCGAUAUGCUGCCCCUGCAACGGUAGGGACCAGAAAAGCUACGGCGCUUGGAGAUCGGCCCGCGGUCCAUUAGCUAGUUGGUGAGGUAACGGCUCACCAAGGCGACAAUGGGUAGCUGGUCUGAGAGGACGAUCAGCCACACCGGGACUGAGAUAUGACCCAGACUCCUACGGGAGUUAGCAUCCGGGAAUCUUGCACAAUGGGCGCAAGCCUGAUGCAGCGACGCCGCGUGGGUGAUGAAGGUCUGCGGAUCGUAAAGCCCUGUCAGGAGGGAAGGCACCCGACUGUACCUCCAAAGGAAGCUCCGGCUAACUACGUGCCAGCAGCCGCGGUAAAACGUAGGGAGCUAGCGUUGUCCGGAAUUACUGGGCGUAAAGGGCACGCAGGCGGUCUGAGAAGCGGUGGGUGCAAUCUCGAGGCUCAACUUCGAAACUGCUCGCCGAACUAUCAGACUAGAGCAUGGGAGAGGACAGUGGAAUUCCCGGUGUAGCGGUGGAAUGCGUAAAUAUCGGGAGGAACACCAGUGGCGAAGGCUGCUGUCUGGAACAUUGCUGACGCUGAGGUGCGAAAGCCAGGGGAGCGAACGGGAUUAGAUACCCCGGUAGUCCUGGCCGUAAACGAUGCUCACUAGGUGUUACCGGCAUUAACCCCGGUAGUGCUGUUCUGCUAACGCGUUAAGUGAGCCGCCUGGGGAGUACGGCCGCAAGGCUGAAACUCAAAGGAAUUGACGGGGGCCCGCACAAGCGGUGGAGCAUGUGGGUCAAUUGGAUGCUACGCCAAGAACCUUACCAGGGCUUGACAUGUUGGGGCCCGCCUGAGAGAUCAGGCUUUCUCCGCAAGGAGACCCCAUCACAGGUGGUGCAUGGCUGUCGUCAGCUCGUGUCGUGAGAUGUUGGGUUAAGUCCCGCAACGAGCGCAACCCUCACACGGAUGUGCCAUCGGUUUGGCUGGGCAGUCUUCCGGAACUGCGUGAGUAAUCAGGAGGAAGGCGAGGACGACGUCAAGUCCGCAUACCCCUUAUGUCCUG
rnacentral:rRNA from 1 species